AUAAAUAGUUAUUGCGUCCGCUUCACUCAUCAUGUCCAAAAUGUUGGACCAAGAUGGUCCUUCCUCCUGUAUCUGUAACCCAAGUGUCUACCGGAACUGCUCAGGGUCGUUACUCGUUACCAACUGGUAGCGAGGUCACGAGGACUAUCUUCUAUGGUGUUACUGGUAUCGGUAUCAGAACUACCGUCUAUUGUGUUACUGGUAUCGGUAUCAGAACUGUUGUUAUGUGUUUAAUUUUUCAUUGCUAUGUGCUCAGCAGUUCCUCGACUUCCGAGAACGGCACUUUGUUGUCCGACCAAAAUAAAUCAGUUCGGAUGAGAAACCCAUGCUUU
rnacentral:lncRNA from 1 species